rnacentral:lncRNA from 10 species
AAACUUGCCUUUGCUGUCUUGCUGCACAGAGCAGCUGAGAGGCAAGGCGGGAACGUGGGGAUGUGGGUUAGAUGUGGCUGUCCAGGUGUCAAAAGGAGGUGGUCAGCUCCCCAGGCAUGCGUGAUUGUGUCUUCAGGGGGUGGCUGUUAGUCCUAGUGCCCCCAGCCCAUCUUCCGUGCUUAGCUCAAUGAACCCUAUUAGGAAUAACAGAGCCCGCAGCAGGCCCACACCUCCUUCCUCUCUUGCCAGCUCUCCAAUUAAGAUGUACUAUUACAGGACAUGCAUCUUGCCUUCACUCAACCAUUUGCCUCUCAACCAGAAGGAAUUCCUUUUCUCAAAAGCAAGCAACACUUCACCACUCAGGCAUCUUGCCUCAAAAAAAGUGGAGUCCAGUGAAAAAGGGAUGGAAGUCAGAAAAAUAAAAAUUCCUAAAUGAAGAGCCAACCCAUAAAAGCAGGGCUUCCCCUAGUGCCUAGUUGGCGUGACAUCACCAUGAAUUACUCAAUGAAAAUGGUGUCAGAGUGGCAGCUAGAUUAUUUGGGGAAAGUUUCCUCAAGAAACAGAACUCCACAGGAAAUAAGAAGGGGUAGGAAACUCCAGCCCUGCACUUAGGUCUUUUGGUGCUUCCUCUAGAGGGGCUGAUUUUCCUGAGCAGACGGCAAGGUGAGAUUCUCUUCCAAGCAGGGUCUUGGUGCUCAGGAGCCGGAGUAGAUAGAACUCAGUGGUUUGUUUUGCUUCCUUCUCUGGAAGCAAUGGUAGGAACAGGAUCAAAAUCCUCUGUUUCAGAUACUGCCAAGUUUUGCUUCUGUGCGUGGUAACUUGGGAAGAAGCAGCCCCCACUAUUUUGUAAGCCAAAGAUUCUUGGCUUGUAGCCUCUCCCGGGAUUCUCUUUAGAGUAUUUUAGACUUUCAUGUAGUAAAGGCAUCUAAAUGGAGGUGGCAGUCCUUGACGCUUUGCAAAUAAAUGUUGCCACCAGUCCCUACACCAGUUUCGACCAUAAAUCCCAAAUUUCUGCAUUUACCAUUGCUCAAUUCGAUGUGAUUUUUAAAGUUUGUUGUUGUCGUUCAUGGCUUUUCAGGUUUCUACUUAUCUAUCCAUAAUUCUCACAGUGGUCAAAUUUUGGUCAUGAACCUGUCUUUUUUUCCUCCAUUCCUCCUUCAGCAUUUUCACUUUAAAAUGGAAACAGAGAUGGAAGGUGCCACCCUGGAUAGGCUUCUAACUGGAAAAGCAUUCUACAGCAGAAUGGCAGGGUGGUUAGGGUCUGGCUGUCAGGCAAACCUGUGUUUGAGUCCUGGCUCUGCCACUAAAUAGUAGUGUCAUCUUGGAGUAAUUUUCUUAGCUCUUCACAGCUCAAUCUUUUCAUAUGUAAAAUGUGAAUAAUAAUAGUCCUAAAUUCAUUGGUGAGGAUUAAAUGAGCUAAUACAAGUAAAAUAUUCAGCACAUGUCCCUAGUACUUAGGCAGCAUAUAAGAAAUGUAUUAUUCUUUAUAU